rnacentral:rRNA from 1 species
GUAACGAGCGCAACCCUGUCCUUAGUUACCAGCACGUUAUGGUGGGCACUCUAAGGAGACUGCCGGUGCAAACCGGGAGGAAGGUGGGGAUGACGUCAAGUCAUCAUGGCCCUUACGGCCUGGGCUACACACGUGCUACAAUGGUCGGUACAAAGGGUUGCCAAGCCGCGAGGUGGAGCUAAUCCCAUAAAACCGAUCGUAGUCCGGAUCGCAGUCUGCAACUCGACUGCGUGAAGUCGGAAUCGCUAGUAAUCGUGAAUCAGAAUGUCACGGUGAAUACGUUCCCGGGCCUU